rnacentral:rRNA from 1 species
GUGGGGAAUAUUGCACAAUGGGCGCAAGCCUGAUGCAGCGACGCCGCGUGGGGGAUGACGGCCUUCGGGUUGUAAACCCCUUUCGCCCGGGACGAAGCGCAAGUGACGGUACCGGGAGAAGAAGCACCGGCCAACUACGUGCCAGCAGCCGCGGUAAUACGUAGGGUGCAAGCGUUGUCCGGAAUUAUUGGGCGUAAAGAGCUCGUAGGCGGUGUGUCACGUCUGCCGUGAAAACCUGCGGCUUAACCGUGGGCGUGCGGUGGAUACGGGCAUCACUUGAGUUCGGUAGGGGAGACUGGAAUUCCUGGUGUAGCGGUGGAAUGCGCAGAUAUCAGGAGGAACACCGGUGGCGAAGGCGGGUCUCUGGGCCGAAACUGACGCUGAGGAGCGAAAGCGUGGGGAGCGAACAGGAUUAGAAACCCUGGUAGUCC